CCUACGGGUGGCAGCAGUGGGGGAUAUUGCACAAUGGGGGAAACCCUGAUGCAGCGACGCCGCGUGUGGGAAGACGGUCCUCUGGAUUGUAAGCCACUGUCCCCAGGGACGAAGAUGACGGUACCUGGGGAUGAAACUCCGGCUAGCUACGGGCCAGCAGCCGCGGUAAUACGUGGGGAGCAAGCGUUGUACGGAAUUACUGGGUGUAAAGGGAGCGUAGGCGGGGUGGCAAGUUGGGUGUUAAAGCUACCGGCUAAACUGGUAGUCGCACUGCAAACUGCUAUUCUUGAGUGAAGUAGAGGCAGGCGGAAUUCCUAGUGUAGCGGUGAAAUGCGUAGAUAUUAGGAGGAACACCAGUGGCGAAGGCGGCCUGCUGGGCUUUUACUGACGCUGAGGCUCGAAAGUGUGGGGAGCAAACAGGAUUAGAUACCCUUGUAGUC
rnacentral:rRNA from 1 species